UACGUAGGGGGCAAGCGUUGUCCGGAAUCAUUGGGCGUAAAGAGCGUGUAGGCGGUUCGGUAAGUCGGCUGUGAAAGUCCAGGGCUCAACCCUGGGAUGCCGGUCGAUACUGCCGGACUAGAGUUCGGAAGAGGCGAGUGGAAUUCCCGGUGUAGCGGUGAAAUGCGCAGAUAUCGGGAGGAACACCCUAUGGCGAAGGCAGCUCGCUGGGACGUUACUGACGCUGAGACGCGAAAGCGUGGGGGAGAAAC
rnacentral:rRNA from 1 species